rnacentral:rRNA from 1 species
GUCCACGCCCUAAACGAUGUCGACUAGUUGUUCGGGAAGGUGACUUCUUGAGUAACGUAGCUAACGCGUGAAGUCGACCGCCUGGGGAGUACGGCCGCAAGGUUAAAACUCAAAGGAAUUGACGGGGACCCGCACAAGCGGUGGAUGAUGUGGAUUAAUUCGAUGCAACGCGAAAAACCUUACCUACCCUUGACAUGCCUGGAAGUCUGCAGAGAUGCGGAUGUGCCUUCGGGAACCAGGACACAGGUGCUGCAUGGCUGUCGU